AUGAAGAGGAAGAGGCAGGAGAUGGGGAGGCUUGGGAUCAGAAAUGCAAGGCUCUUCCAAGAGGAUUUGUUCUGGUUUAGUCUGUGGUUACACCUCCUCUCCCCUCCAUCUCCCCAUCCCACUCUGCUCCCUCCUAACACCCACACGCACGGCAAUCUUCCACUCCCUGCUGUGACUUUCUGGGGAAGAGGCUGUCAUGUGAAAUCCUGGGAGAGAGUUACCACAUGGAGCUCUCUGAAAGCAUCAGAACAGGCCGGCAGCCGGAGGAACGCUGCACUCCCCCUCCCCGAAAUCCUGAGCGCUCCUCUCACGGAUGGGAGGUGGGGGGGGAAUCAUCUUGGAAGCUUGGGAGCCGCCUACACACAUGGCAAGUCUUGUCAGCAGCUGAUAAAAGAGGUGGGAGGUGGGGAGAUUUCGAGGGGGAAGAAUGUGGAGGCUCUUAUGCCCACACAGCUCCCCCAUCCUGUCUCCUGCAGGGCUCCCACAGCCAGGAGGGCCACGGGCUCGGCCCCGUUGGUGACACAGGUGCUAGUGAGGAGAGACCCCAAAAAGGGACUCGGAUGUGCUUCAGCAAUGACGCAAAGCAUCUUGCAGGACAUGAGCAAACCUGGCCACAGCAGAGGCAGCAAGAUCAAGGUGAAAUCUUCAGGAGGAGCACUCAUGGAAAGCUAAGGAAGAGUUUGUCCUGCCCUUCAGAGAGCAGAUGCACAAGGCAGAGCUCUGGCAUGAACUUGGAUUUCUGCAAGGAGAACAGAGUGAGGCACUGGCCUGGUUUCCAGGAAAGGAGAACAGUGUGUCACAGGGAAGGCAUUGAAAAGUCCUGAGGCUUCUGCCUCAGCUUUUGGUCUUACUCCUGCAGACACGUGGGUGCUUGGGAGUUCAAAAGGCUGAACUGGAUGCUGUCCUGCAGCUGGCUGAGGACAGGAAGCUGUGGCUCCUCCUGCAGAGCUGCUGGAGCAGAGACCACAGAGGGAGUCCCUGUCUCAGCUGGAGAUCCCUGCUCAGCUCAGCGUCAAUCCCUGCAGCGCUGACCUUUGAGUGGGACUGUGGGAACCCGAGGUGCACAGGAAGGCUUGGUACAAGGCACUACCUCCAGUCCCCAGAGCCCCCAAAAGACACUGGCAGCUCUUCAGCAACAUCUCAAAACCCCACAGGAUCUCUGACAUCCUCUCCAGCUGGCGCAUCUCACAGCACAGGUAGGGCUGGGCACACCACACGUUUCCUCCAGCCGACCCACCCAUUUCCUAUUUUCUGCAGACAUGACAACUAGUGAGUUAAUCCUGCAGGCCAUAAACUAAGCUGUAUUAGCAGACACCAUCUGUCCUUUUUCAUUUGCUGAUGCACGACCUAUUUUGCUGUGUAGUGGAGCAGGCGCUGCAGUUUCGGGGCUUGCAUGUUGCAGUGUCCCUGUUGCCAGGGCAUAAUCCAGUGCUCACAGGGACCUGCUAGUGGGAGAAAGCUCCAGUGAGCUGAGCACCACUGGGACCUGCUGCCAUGGGCAGGUGGUGGAUGGAGCCUGUCCCUGUUGCUGCUUGGCCUCCAGGGAGGUUUGGGCUUCAAUCCCACAAAGCACCUGGGAAGGGAAAGGUCUCAGCAGAACUUCUGAGAGUACAACUGCCCUCAGCACGGUCUUCUGAAGCCCCUUCAGCAAUGGCCACAUCCACAUUCCCUCACUUGUCAGGAGGUCGUGGAGAGACCUGAAUUCUCAUCCCAAAGAGGGGUUUAUGGCAACAGGCUCAGCACUCCAGCCAUGCUGCUCUGGCCUGGGGUAAUUCCUGUGCUUUACAGAGCUGAGCAAUGGCCAUCGCACCAGCAUAGGGAAAGACAGGGAGAGAACGCUUCUUUUAUCCCUCUGGCCAUGUCUUGGAGCAGUGUGGUGACCCUUGUCUGGGUACAGAAGUGCAGACAUUGUGAAAGGUCAUAAAACCAUCAGGAUUUUCCAAGCCAGUUAUUAUUUGACUUUACCAACUCUUGAGGCAAUUCCAAAGGUUAGUGCCUUGUCGCAAGAAGCCUCCUGAAUUUACCAGCUUUCAAUUUAACUCAGUGCUGGUGGCAGGAAUUUUCCCUGAGUUCUGAAACAAAAAGCCAGGAAAUUCUGUGGCUGUGUGCUGCUGAGUGCAGGGCUGGGUGCUACCACACUUAUCUGUUCCUCAGAACCAGGAUUAUCACUGCUCCCUGACCUCUGGACUCCCAAAACCAGCCAGAGAAUUUUCAGCUUCCUGCCUCACUCACAAAAGCGGAAGAGAGAGUGGAAGCAAUUAUUCAGACUGACCUUGGCCUUAGCCAGACCACUUCUUUCUGACUUAGCUCAGUUGCAUUAUUUAGGUUUUCCAAAGAGCUCCCAAGUUCCUGGCUACGAUGUGGCCCAAAUCCACCCCCUUCUGUGCCAUCAGUGUCCUCUGAGUAUCCAGCACUGCCAGAAAGCUGGUCUGGAGUCAUUCCCUUCCCUGCUAGUCCUGCUCUUUUAUCUUAGAAACUGGCUUAAGCUCUCAACCCCUGAAUCUGUGGUAACUCCUGCACAGUCUUGCUGUCUGCAGAGGUGUUUGACUCCUCUGCUGAGCUCUGUAUCCUCAGCAAGCCCUGCUGGCUCCUUCCUGCCUUCCCUAAGCUUUGCCCAGUGUUCCUUUGUGCUGUGGACACUGUGCAUCAAAUGUGACAAUAAAUCAUGACUUUCCACAACAUGCCCUGGUGUUCCUGCAAG
rnacentral:lncRNA from 12 species